GAUGAACGCUGGCGGCGUGCCUAAUACAUGCAAGUCGAGCGAACAGACGAGGAGCUUGCUCCUCUGACGUUAGCGGCGGACGGGUGAGUAACACGUGGAUAACCUACCUAUAAGACUGGGAUAACUUCGGGAAACCGGAGCUAAUACCGGAUAAUAUAUUGAACCGCAUGGUUCAAUAGUGAAAGACGGUUUUGCUGUCACUUAUAGAUGGAUCCGCGCCGCAGUAGCUAGUUGGUAAGGUAACGGCUUACCAAGGCGACGAUGCGUAGCCGACCUGAGAGGGUGAUCGGCCACACUGGAACUGAGACACGGUCCAGACUCCUACGGGAGGCAGCAGUAGGGAAUCUUCCGCAAUGGGCGAAAGCCUGACGGAGCAACGCCGCGUGAGUGAUGAAGGUCUUCGGAUCGUAAAACUCUGUUAUUAGUGAAGAACAAAUGUGUAAGUAACUAUGCACGUCUUGACGGUACCUAAUCAGAAAGCCACGGCUAACUACGUG
rnacentral:rRNA from 1 species